rnacentral:rRNA from 1 species
UACGGAGGGAGCUAGCGUUGUUCGGAAUUACUGGGCGUAAAGCGCACGUAGGCGGCUUUGUAAGUAAGGGGUGAAAGCCCGGAGCUCAACUCCGGAAUUGCCCUUUAGACUGCAUCGCUUGAAUCCAGGAGAGGUGAGUGGAAUUCCGAGUGUAGAGGUGAAAUUCGUAGAUAUUCGGAAGAACACCAGUGGCGAAGGCGGCUCACUGGACUGGUAUUGACGCUGAGGUGCGAAAGCGUGGGGAGCAAACAGG